rnacentral:rRNA from 1 species
CCCAGGGAGGUCGGCAACGACCACCCAGGGCCGGAAAGUUGGUCAAACUCGGUCAUUUAGAGGAAGUAAAAGUCGUAACAAGGUCUCCGUAGGUGAACCUGCGGAGGGAUCAUU